UACGUAGGGUGCAAGCGUUGUCCGGAAUUAUUGGGCGUAAAGAGCUCGUAGGCGGUCUGUUGCGUCGGCUGUGAAAACCCGGGGCUCAACCCCGGGAGGCGGAUGGAUACUGCUUGGCUCGAGUCCGGAAGAGGCGAGUGGAAUUCCCGGUGUAGCGGUGAAAUGCGCAGAUAUCGGGAGGAACACCAAUGGCGAAGGCAGCUCGCUGGGACGGUACUGACGCUGAGACGCGAAAGCGUGGGUAGCAAACAGG
rnacentral:rRNA from 1 species